GCGAGUGUAGUUCAACGGUAGAACGGUUCCUUUAAUUCAAUAUAGUCUACCUUCCAAUGCAGGUUCGAUUCCUGCCACUCGCA
rnacentral:tRNA from 2 species